rnacentral:rRNA from 1 species
UACGAAGGGGGCUAGCGUUGCUCGGAAUCACUGGGCGUAAAGCGCACGUAGGCGGAUCGUUAAGUCAGGGGUGAAAUCCUGGAGCUCAACUCCAGAACUGCCUUUGAUACUGGCGACCUUGAGUUCGGGAGAGGUGAGUGGAACUGCGAGUGUAGAGGUGAAAUGCGUAGAUAUUGGGAGGAACACCAGUGGCGAAGGCGGCUCACUGGACCGGAACUGACGCUGAGGCGCGAAAGCGUGGGGAGCAAACGGG